UACGUAGGGUGCAAGCGUUGUCCGGAAUUAUUGGGCGUAAAGAGCUCGUAGGCGGUCUGUCGCGUCGGAUGUGAAAAUCCAGGGCUCAACCCUGGACCUGCAUUCGAUACGGGCAGACUAGAGUUCGGCAGGGGAGACUGGAAUACUUGGUGUAGCAGUGAAAUGCGUAGAUAUCAAGUGGAACACCAGUGGCGAAGGCGAGUCCCUGGACAACUCCUGACACUGAGGCACGAAAGCUAGGGGAGCAAACAGG
rnacentral:rRNA from 1 species